UCGAGCGGGAAUCUUGGAAUGAUUCUUCGGAGGAAUGAAGAGAUGGAGAGCGGCGGACGGGUGAGUAACGCGUAGGCAACCUGCCCUUUGCAGAGGGAUAGCCACUGGAAACGGUGAUUAAAACCUCAUAAUACUGAAGGUUCACAUGGACAUUUGGUCAAAGAUUUAUCGGCAAAGGAUGGGCCUGCGUCUGAUUAGCUAGUUGGUGAGGUAACGGCUCACCAAGGCAACGAUCAGUAGCCGACCUGAGAGGGUAAUCGGCCACAUUGGAACUGAGACACGGUCCAAACUCCUACGGGAGGCAGCAGUGGGGAAUAUUGCACAAUGGGGGAAACCCUGAUGCAGCAACGCCGCGUGAAGGAAGAAGGCCUUUGGGUCGUAAACUUCUGUCCUAAGGGAAGAUAAUGACGGUACCUUUGGAGGAAGCCCCGGCUAACUACGUGCCAGCAGCCGCGGUAAUACGUAGGGGGCGAGCGUUAUCCGGAAUUAUUGGGCGUAAAGAGUUCGUAGGCGGUUUUUUAAGCGCGGGGUGAAAGGCAAUGGCUUAACCAUUGUUAGCCCUGCGAACUGGGAGACUUGAGUGCAGGAGAGGAAAGCGGAAUUCCUAGUGUAGCGGUGAAAUGCGUAGAUAUUAGGAGGAACACCAGUGGCGAAGGCGGCUUUCUGGACUGUAACUGACGCUGAGGAACGAAAGUGUGGGGAGCAAACAGGAUUAGAUACCCUGGUAGUCCACACCGUAAACGAUGAGCACUAGGUGUCGGGGUCGCAAGACUUCGGUGCCCGGAGUUAACGCAUUAAGUGCUCCGCCUGGGGAAGUACGCACGCAAGUGUG
rnacentral:rRNA from 1 species